GCUCGCAGGGACAUCGGCAUCUAGCCCACACCCAGGCAACAGUGACCCCCCGCUGCCCCUGCAGCACGUUCUAACCAGCCCUCAGCCACGCGGAGGAGCACUUAACCUCCUCAGACACAAUGACAGAAAACACCGAGGAUCGUGAUUGGACCUGUGCUGCCUUCCGAGUUGAGGCCUUCACACUGGACCUCCGUUCCCGCCCUCAUUCUGAUCCACCUUCAGUCAGCGGUGACACACUUGGAGUGAUGUUUUCAGGAGGGUCAGUGGCUGGUGUAUUUUCUAAGCACUGACAUAUUUCACGAUUUCUUGCUUUUUCCAGACUUAAAAUAGCCAGAACACGAUGGUGAGCCCACCAUGGACCUGUGAUAGAGACGCGCCAGGGAAGCUCCGGAAUCACCAGUGUCCAGGUGUCCAGCUGGCUGUGCCUCAUGUGGGAGUGGCCACCCUGCCACUGCCUGCCACCCGUUCAGAAGCUAGAGCCGACUUCUCUCUUGGUGAACAGAGGGGAAGGAAGAAAUCAGACUGCAUGGCUCUGGAAGAGGGGCCAGGAAAAGCCCCACCGGAGAACAUAUGGGAAUGUCGGGGUUACGGCAUUUGCUACAGGUUGUAAAAGUGCUGCAGGAUCGGGUUCCUGUUGUAGUGGAGGUGGACAUAGGUCAUGGUUUAGAAAUAACUGUAAAGCAGAAGGGGUCUGGGGAGGACCCAUGCUUCCUUCUGCUAAGAAAUUUUACGAUGCCUCUGGUCACAGAUGAUUCCAUCCCAUAACCUCUGUGAUAACCGUUGUUAUGAGUAUAAAGACCUCUAAGGCU